rnacentral:rRNA from 1 species
AUAUUAACACAUGCCUCAACGUUAACACAUCAGAUUCCAUCAAAACUUCAUAGUUAAUCAUUCUUGAGAUAGAGUAGUAUUGGGAUGGGUGAUCGCUUGUGAAGUCCUAUUGUUUUACAUG